rnacentral:rRNA from 1 species
CCUACGGGAGGCAGCAGUAGGGAAUCUUCCACAAUGGGCGCAAGCCUGAUGGAGCAACACCGCGUGAGUGAAGAAGGGUUUCGGCUCGUAAAGCUCUGUUGUUGGAGAAGAAAGUGCGUGAGAGUAACUGUUCACGCAGUGACGGUAUCCUACCAGACAGUCACGGCUAACUACGUGCCAGCAGCCGCGGUAAGACGUAGGUGGCAAGCGUUAUCCGGAUUUAUUGGGCGUAAAGCGAGCGCAGGCGGUUGCUUAGGUCUGAUGUGAAAGCCUUCGGCUUAACCGAAGAAGUGCAUUGGAAACCGGGCAACUUGAGUGCAGAAGAGGACAGGGGAACUCCAUGUGUAGCGGUGGAAUGCGUAGAUAUAUGGAAGAACACCAGUGGCGAAGGCGGCUGUCUGGUCUGCAACUGACGCUGAGGCUCGAAAGCAUGGGUAGCGAACAGGAUUAGAUACCCGGGUAGUC